rnacentral:sRNA from 1 species
UUUUUUUUUGAAUACCAGAAGGUUCUGGGCUGAAUCCCGUAAUUCCUCCAGGUCCGAAACCACAACAUGUAAUAUUAGUUGCGUCACAAGCGCAAGCGUU